UUUCCCUGCGUCCUCAUUGUGCAUGCUGUGUGUGUUUCUUAUGGGUCCACACAGCGCCUGCAAUGUGGAGGCCGAGAUG
rnacentral:pre_miRNA from 1 species